CUUGAAAUACCACCCUUUAAUGUUUGAUGUUCUAACGUUGACCCGUAAUCCGGGUUGCGGACAGUGUCUGGUGGGUAGUUUGACUGGGGCGGUCUCCUCCUAAAGAGUAACGGAGGAGCACGAAGGUUGGCUAAUCCUGGUCGGACAUCAGGAGGUUAGUGCAAUGGCAUAAGCCAGCUUGACUGCGAGCGUGACGGCGCGAGCAGGUGCGAAAGCAGGUCAUAGUGAUCCGGUGGUUCUGAAUGGAAGGGCCAUCGCUCAACGGAUAAAAGGUACUCCGGGGAUAACAGGCUGAUACCGCCCAAGAGUUCAUAUCGACGGCGGUGUUUGGCACCUCGAUGUCGGCUCAUCACAUCCUGGGGCUGAAGUAGGUCCCAAGGGUAUGGCUGUUCGCCAUUUAAAGUGGUACGCGAGCUGGGUUUAGAACGUCGUGAGACAGUUCGGUCCCUAUCUGCCGUGGGCGCUGGAGAACUGAGGGGGGCUGCUCCUAGUACGAGAGGACCGGAGUGGACGCAUCACUGGUGUUCGGGUUGUCAUGCCAAUGGCACUGCCCGGUAGCUAAAUGCGGAAGAGAUAAGUGCUGAAAGCAUCUAAGCACGAAACUUGCCCCGAGAUGAGUUCUCCCUGACUCCUUGAGAGUCCUGAAGGAACGUUGAAGACGACGACGUUGAUAGGCCGGGUGUGUAAGCGCAGCGAUGCGUUGAGCUAACCGGUACUAAUGAACCGUGAGG
rnacentral:rRNA from 2 species